UAACGGUCCUAAGGUAGCAAAUUUCCUUGUCGUCUUAAUAACGACCUGCAUGAAACAUAGAACGAUUUGAUAGCUGUCUUGCACACACAUCAUGGUAAAAUAUUCAUCAGUACAAAUAAUAUGCUGCUGACACUAAAGGACAAAAAGACCCUUUGAAGCUUUAUAGGGAUAAAACUCAGCUCUAAAUCAACAAACAAUGAAAUCCAUCUUGUUGCUUCUCCGCUUUUUAAAUUGCUAAAGCCUUACAAGAUUUACAACAUCAAGACCACUGUUUAAUUGGGGCGAUAACCUUAUCCACAGCCACCUAAGGUGAACAAAGCGAUACAAGGAUCCUAAAUACUAAUUUGACCAACUAAUAAGUGCAAAGAUACAUGUUUUGCUUAAUGGCCCAACAAGUCCUUCCCAGUACUUAAAUGCUAUCUUAAUGAGCUUUAAAUUA
rnacentral:rRNA from 1 species